GGGGAUUAGUGGCGAACGGGUGAGUAACACGUGGGCAAUCUGCCCUUCACUCUGGGACAAGCCCUGGAAACGGGGUCUAAUACCGGAUAACACCUUCUGCCUCCUGGCGGAAGGUUAAAAGCUCCGGCGGUGAAGGAUGAGCCCGCGGCCUAUCAGCUAGUUGGUGGGGUAAUGGCCUACCAAGGCGACGACGGGUAGCCGGCCUGAGAGGGCGACCGGCCACACUGGGACUGAGACACGGCCCAGACUCCUACGGGAGGCAGCAGUGGGGAAUAUUGCACAAUGGGCGAAAGCCUGAUGCAGCGACGCCGCGUGAGGGAUGACGGCCUUCGGGUUGUAAACCUCUUUCAGCAGGGAAGAAGCGAAAGUGACGGUACCUGCAGAAGAAGCGCCGGCUAACUACGUGCCAGCAGCCGCGGUAAUACGUAGGGCGCAAGCGUUGUCCGGAAUUAUUGGGCGUAAAGAGCUCGUAGGCGGCCAGUCGCGUCGGGUGUGAAAGACCGGGGCUUAACCCCGGUUCUGCAUUCGAUACGGGCUGGCUAGAGUGUGGUAGGGGAGAUCGGAAUUCCUGGUGUAGCGGUGAAAUGCGCAGAUAUCAGGAGGAACACCGGUGGCGAAGGCGGAUCUCUGGGCCAUUACUGACGCUGAGGAGCGAAAGCGUGGGGAGCGAACAGGAUUAGAUACCCUGGUAGUCCACGCCGUAAACGGUGGGAACUAGGUGUUGGCGACAUUCCACGUCGUCGGUGCCGCA
rnacentral:rRNA from 1 species